AGAAGGUUGGUUUGAAAAUCAGAAGAGCAUGGUGUUUUUACACUGUCACCACGUCCAUAUAAUAAACUCCACAGGCAUGAAAACUGAGAAUUCAGUAGACUAGAAGCUGCUGUCGCUCACGGUGAAAGAAUUUCGUCAAUACGACUUGUACUUUUCAUAUGGGAACGAUUUGUUUCGGCCUGACUUUUCUGUUCAUUUUAAGCAGCAAAAGUGAGGUGCAUGUCUGUGUACGUGUGUAUGGAGCCAUUGGGUGCGGUCACUAUAGCAACCAGGCUCACACCUGCCUGCUUAACGAGCUCUGCCUGCCACUCUGCCAAGAUUCAUCUUAAGCACUUCUCUUUCAACUGCUGCUGUGUCCACAGUGUUAAAGCCAUCAUUUUACCCUCAAAACGUCGCCAUCGUUGUUCUUUUUCCAACAUCUUGUCUUUCAAAGCUCAGAGAUGUAAACUUUUUAAACUGUGUGGGUCCAAGUGGAGGGAUCACAUUUUAGUCAUUCAGUGAUUCAAAGAAUAUAACCUUUUAAUAUUCUUUCAGAUGUUUUCUGACUCUAAAUGUUCUUUUCUCAUUUCUUAGGUUUUUCUAAUUUACAAUUAAAACAUUUUCAGCUUUUUUCCAACUUCUUCUUCUGUGUAACCUUCAGCUUUUAGCAGUUCAGCACUUUUGUUUUCAGGUUAAAUUCGGGUUUUUUUUUUGGGUUUUUUUUUAAUCUCAUUCAAUAUUUUUAACUCAAAAUUCAGCAAUUAAUUCAUUUCAGUGCAUACAUUCAGAUUCAAGCAUUCACACUGCAGUUUCUUCAGAAAAUGCACUUUCUAGUUAUAUUUUAUUAUUAUUAUCUAUUCCGUACGCUUUUUGAAAGCCAACUCCUUCAAAACCGUUCAACUUAGAAAAACCAUUCAAACACCGUUAGAUUCCUAUUCUUUUGGACAACAUUGCUUCUAUUUUUCUCAUUUUUAACAUUUAUAUUUUUAAUUUUAUUCAACUUUUUUCAACAAAAAUUUAUAAUGUAUUUCAAUGGGGAGACCCUUCAAAUUCUCAUUCAACUUCAUCCUCUUUAAACUGUAUCUACUUCCACAUACAUUGACAUAGAGCCACCAUUCAAACUUUAAAACGAAGACAAGACAUUCAACUAUUCAACUUGUAUUUAUCUUUUCAAUAUCUAUUAUACUUUUUCUUCAGUUCCAGUUUAAGUUUCAUGAUGUUUUUUCACCCGUUUCAGAGUUUAUAAUGGGUGUGUAUGGGACGGAAUGUUGGGGCUAGAGUGAGGCAGCUCAACUGCUAGAGUGAGAGGAGCAAAAAAAUUAAUCUUAAAAUCUUUUUUAAAACUGCUGCUGUGUCCGCAGCGUUUG
ensembl:lncRNA